UACGGAGGAUCCGAGCGUUAUCCGGAUUUAUUGGGUUUAAAGGGUGCGCAGGCGGGAAAUUAAGUCGGCGGUGAAAUUUUGCGGCUCAACCGUAAAAGUGCCUUCGAAACUGGUUUCCUUGAGUGUAGAUGAAGUAGGCGGAAUUUGUGGUGUAGCGGUGAAAUGCAUAGAUAUCACGAGGAACUCCGAUUGCGAAGGCAGCUUACUAAGCUACUACUGACGCUCAGGCACGAAGGCGUGGGGAUCAAACAGGAUUAGAUACCCGGGUAGUCCCUGAG
rnacentral:rRNA from 1 species